rnacentral:lncRNA from 1 species
GACUUCCUCGAGCCCGGCUCUUCCUCGGCGCGCGUCUCUCCGUUCCCUCUCCGACUCGACUCUCGACUCGAGGUCGAUUGAGAAACUUCUCGUCGAGGAAGAUCGUCUCCAGGCGAAUCGGUCGAGAAGAGGAGAUGGAUCCACAGGUCGAUCGAGAAACUUCUCGUCGAGGAGGAUCGUCUCCAGGCGAAUCGGUCGAGAAGAGGAGAUGGAUCCUCUCGGGACCGAGAGGACGACUAGAGGAACACAGCGCCGGAGGUCGCGUUUUAUGCCGGGCUUCCAAGUUCACCGCUCAUGGGAACGCGUUGACAUCAUUCCAACGUCGCUCCGAUGGACGCCUUGCAACGAGAAAAUGCAGGGCUCUUUCGUCGACGGGGUUCGGAGGAAAGUCCGCGAAGAGGACGCGAAGACGAUCUUGGGCUCCGGGCAAUCGAAGAGAGAAUCGCAAUCGAGAGAAGAAGAGAAGGAAAAAGGAGAGCACGACGGUGGCAAAGGUGGAAGGUGGCCGGACCUUUUUUCCCGGGGCGUUUCUCCCUGCUUUCCUUCUUUUUCA